rnacentral:rRNA from 1 species
GAUGAACGCUAGCGGCAGGCCUAAUACAUGCAAGUCGAACGGGACCUUGAUUCUUCGGAAUCUUGGUUAGUGGCGCACGGGUGCGUAACGCGUAUGCAACCUACCUUCCACAGGGGGAUAGCCCGGGGAAACCCGGAUUAAUACCGCAUGACACCAUUCGAGGGCAUCUGAGAAUGGUCAAAGCUGAGGCGGUGGAAGAUGGGCAUGCGUGCCAUUAGCUAGUUGGUGGGGUAACGGCUCACCAAGGCGACGACCGGUAGCUGGUCUGAGAGGAUGAUCAGCCAGACUGGGACUGAGAACGGCCCAGACUCCUACGGNNGACAGCAGUCGGGAAUUUUGCCCAAUGGACGAAAGUCUGAGGCAGCAACUCCGCGUGNGGGAUGAAGGCUCUCGGGUCGUAAACCUCUUUUCUCAGGGAAGAUCCAAGACGGUACCUGAGGAAUAAGCGACGGCUAACNNACGUGCCAGCAGCCGCGGUAAUACGUAGGUCGCAAGCGUUGUCCGGAUUUACUGGGCGUAAAGAGCGCGCAGGCGGCUGGUCAAGUCUGAUGUGAAAUCUCCCGGCUCAACUGGGAAACUGCAUCGGAAACUGAUCGGCUUGAAGGUGGGAGAGGGUAGUGGAAUUCCCGGUGUAGUGGUGAAAUGCGUAGAUAUCGGGAGGAACACCAGUGGCGAAGGCGACUACCUGGCCCAUUCUUGACGCUGAGGCGCGAAAGCUAGGGGAGCGAACGGGAUUAGAUACCCCGGUAGUCCUACGCCGUAAACGAUGAACACUAGGCGUAGUCGGUAUCGACCCCGGCUGUCGCCGUAGCUAACGCAUUAAGUGUUCCGCCUGGGGAGUACGGCCGCAANGGCUAAAAACUCAAAGGAAUUGACGGGGGCCCGCACAAGCAGCGGGAGCGUGUGGUUUAAUUCGUCAGCAAACGCGAAGAACCUUACCAGGGCUUGACAUGUGNCGGAAAACGNCGNAAACGUCGUCCUCCCGCAAGGGACCGUCAUGCAGGUGUUGCAUGGCUGUCGUCAGCUCGUGUCGUGAGAUGUUGGGUUAAGUCCCGCAACGAGCGCAACCCCCGUGGCAUGUUGUAUCUCUCAUGCCAGACUGCCGAGAGAAACUCGGAGGAAGGUGGGNAUGACGCCAAGUCAGCAUGGCCCUUACGUCCUGGGCUACACACACGCUACAAUGGCCGGUACAACGGGUUGCCAAACCGCGAGGUGGAGCUAAUCCCUUAAAGCCGGUCUCAGUUCGGAUUGCAGGCUGCAACUCGCCUGCAUGAAGCCGGAGUUGCUAGUAACNGCAGGUCAGCACACUGCGGUAAAUAUGUUCCCGGGCCUUGUACACACCGCCAAAAACGUCAUGAAAGCCGAUAACACC